rnacentral:rRNA from 1 species
AUUGAACGCUGGCGGCAUGCCUUACACAUGCAAGUCGAACGGUAACGGGCCUUCGGGUGCCGACGAGUGGCGAACGGGUGCGUAAUACAUCGGAACGUGCCCGAUCGUGGGGGAUAACGAGGCGAAAGCUUUGCUAAUACCGCAUACGAUCUACGGAUGAAAGCAGGGGACCGCAAGGCCUUGCGCGGACGGAGCGGCCGAUGGCAGAUUAGGUAGUUGGUGGGAUAAAAGCUUACCAAGCCGACGAUCUGUAGCUGGUCUGAGAGGAUGAUCAGCCACACUGGGACUGAGACACGGCCCAGACUCCUACGGGAGGCAGCAGUGGGGAACUUUGGACGAUGGGAGCAAGCCUGAUCCAGCCAUGCCGCGUGCAGGGUGAAGGCCUUCGGGUUGUAAACUGCUUUUGUACGGAACGAAAAGCCUUCUUUUAAUACAGGAGGGUCAUGACGGUACCGGAAGAAUAAGCACCGGCUAACUACGUG